rnacentral:rRNA from 1 species
ACGAACGCUGGCGGCGUGCUUAACACAUGCACGUCGAACGGAAAGGCCCUGCUUUUGUGGGGUGCUCGAGUGGCGAACGGGUGAGUAACACGUGAGUAACCUGCCCUUGACUUUGGGAUAACUUCAGGAAACUGGGGCUAAUACCGGAUAGGGGCUCCUGCUGCAUGGUGGGGGUUGGAAAGUUUCGGCGGUUGGGGAUGGACUCGCGGCUUAUCAGCUUGUUGGUGGGGUAGUGGCUUACCAAGGCUUUGACGGGUAGCCGGCCUGAGAGGGUGACCGGCCACAUUGGGACUGAGAUACGGCCCAGACUCCUACGGGAGGCAGCAGUGGGGAAUAUUGCACAAUGGGCGGAAGCCUGAUGCAGCAACGCCGCGUGCGGGAUGACGGCCUUCGGGUUGUAAACCGCUUUCGCCUGUGACGAAGCGUGAGUGACGGUAAUGGGUAAAGAAGCACCGGCUAACUACGUG